rnacentral:rRNA from 1 species
UACGGAGGGUGCGAGCGUUGUCCGGAAUCACUGGGCGUAAAGGGCGCGUAGGCGGCGCGGGAAGUCAUCGGUGAAAGUUCAGGGCUCAACUCUGAAUCGGCCGGUGAUACUCUCGUGCUCGAGCACUGUAGAGGCAGGUGGAAUUCCGGGUGUAGCGGUGGAAUGCGUAGAGAUCCGGAAGAACACCGGUGGCGAAGGCGGCUCGCUGGACCGGUCCUGACGCUCAGGCGCGAAAGCGUGGGGAGCGAUCCGG